rnacentral:sRNA from 1 species
ACCAUUCAUGUUUUAGAAAUGUCUUCAUGGUAUCAGAGCCUAGGCGAUUGAUUUGGGUCUUAUUUUCACAAGCUUCUAGCUUCCGCUCUUCUGGUUUUGCGUUUCUUGGCGUCAGAGCUUGUGAAUGAAAACGCCAAGGUGUUGCAAACGUCGCUAUUCUCCAUUGGAUGAUGUGAAUAGAGAAUGCUCCAAACUAAAAGACAUUUGCGACAAAGAAGAGGCAAAGUAUAAAUAUCACAUAUCGUGUUUUCAAGCCCUUUCUAUCUCAAUCCCAUCAAGUAACCACAACAACACUAUUCAAGGUAAUGAAUUUGUCCUUUCAUCUGAGACAGAACAAAGGUUAUUGAUGGGUUGAGAAAAAAAAGAGGGAAACAUGGCUAGAGAUAUAGGGUUAGAUCAUGAGAGUAGUCAUUUGUUUAGUGAUUCCGCUGGUGGCUUAGAUUUAUAGACGUGGAAUUUAAGAAGCUAGAAUGCAACAUAACUUACUUGGGUUUGAUAAGGAUGUGUUUAAGGGAGCAAGUUUCUGGUUUUGCUGAGCGCAUAGAAGCUGUUUGAUAAAAUGUCAAAGAGAAAAACAGAUUGUGUAAAUGCAAAUUGUGGUUGGCUAAAGAAUAAAAAGCAGAUAGCAAGUAGGAUCUAAGUAGUUGUGGGAAGAGAAUUCUUCUUCUUCAUGGGACAGCUUAGGGGAGUUAAACCAGAUAAAGAAAACUCGGUUUCUUCGUGAGACAAAUAGGUCAAAAGAACCUGAAAAGUUGUCACACUAAAGACUGAUUUUAUGGUGAAGAGAUGCUACUAUCUACAUCCAAGUGAUCUUGCUUUGUCUACUCAUGCUCUUGUCAAGUCAUCUCCAUUUGUGCUGACAUUUCAUUUGAAGUUCAAACUUGUCAUGUUGCUUUCGCACCACGCCAAGUUUGCGGAGAAAUAUUAGAGCACACAUAAAGCCCAAGCUAUUAUCUAUAUAGAAGCCCAUACAAGCACAUGUAAUUAGGUUAUCUAGCAAGUAGUCUCUCAUAUAUAUAGUCAUGUAUUGUGAACAUUGUGAUUAACCUAGAGAGUUGUCAUUUGGAACAACUCUCCUCCUUCACCAUUUUAUGAAAUCAAAUCUGAAGUGUUAGUGUUCUUGGUAACAAACCUAAAGCUUCUUCCUUUCUCAUCUUUACAUUUCAAUAAAGCUCAUUGAACUAUUGUAGUUUUAAUCUUAGAUUUUUAUGUUAAUAAGCU